AUAUUGCCAUUGAAAUUACCCCACCUGGAAGAAAGUAAUGCUGUCCGGCUGGCGUGCCAUGGAAGGAGACAUCACUGUACUUAGACUCACCCCAGCGCUUCUGCCCACACAACUUCCUUUCUCGAAGUCACGCUGUAGAGAGAAAAUUUUUUCCUUCCACUUGCUCAGCAGAGCAUGCAGCUUCCAUGAACUGAGGCACACCGUUAAACUAAUCUUCACCAGCUUUCACUCAUUGUCUGGAAAAGUUGCUGUGAGUGGCUCUGAUCGGCCUGAUUUCUGCUUCUCUCACUGCUUAGUUUUUGUGUGA
rnacentral:lncRNA from 1 species